AAUGUGCCCACAGCAAUUUUUUGGUAAAAGGGAACAUUAAUGUGAAAUCAUCUUCCUUCAUCUCCAAACAAAGUUUUAACAUCCUAUUAUGAAGCUGUUGUGGUGUUAAUCAAGAAUUGUAAGAUAAAAUAAUGAAGAUAUUACAAAAAGUCUUAAAAACCUGAUGAGAUGUCUAUUUCUUGUCUCAAACAACAAUUAAAUUGGUUAUUGCAGAAUAUUGAUAUUUGGUCUAUUGCAUAGUAAACUUUUUAGGUAAAAUUGGUAAUCAUUAUACAAAAGAUAAGUUGUUAAAAAUUGCUUCUAUGCAUGCUUUUGUAUUUCCUGUAAAUUUAUGCAUGCAUCCCUUAAGAAUACCUCUACUGUAUUUAUAAACAGCCUUUCUAUAGGAGAGAAGCAUAUGUGAUUGUAUCACAUGUUUAUUCUUUCGAGUUUCCUCCUUCUUCAGCACAGAUAAUUGAAUAGUAUGCUGUAGCCAGUGUUUUGAAAUCUUGAAAAAUCAAGCAGGAUAUUAUAAAACCGUAAAGGAAAAGAUGGAAAGAUCUCCCAUGCUCGUGGAUUGGCAGAAUUAAUAGUCAAAAUGGCUAUCCUGCCGAAAGCAAUCUACAGAUUCAAUGCAAUCCCCAUCAAAAUUCUAACUCAAUUCUUCACUGAGUUAGAAAGGGCAAUUUGCAAAUUCAUCUAGAAUAACAAAAAACCUAGCAUAGCAAAAAGUGUUCUCAACAAUAAAAGAACCUCUGGGGGAAUCACCAUGCCUGACCUCAAGCUGUACUUACAGAGCAAUUGUGAUAAAAAACUGCAUGGUACUGGUACAAUGACAGACAGGUUAAUCAAUGGAAUAGAAUUGAAGACCCAGAAAUGAACCCACACAUGUAUGGUUACUUGAUCUUUGACAAGGGAGCUAAAACCAUCCAGUGGAAAAACAGACAGCAUUUUCUUUUUUUUUAAACACAUUUUUAUUAGAUAUUUUCUUUAUAUACAUUUCAAAUUUCAAAUGCUAUCCCGAAAGUUCCCUAUACACCCCCCCCCCCCCGCUCCCCUACCCACCCACUCCCACUUCUUGGCCCUGGAAUUUCACUGUACUGGGGCAUAUAAAGUUUGCAAGACCAAGGGGCCUCUCUUCCCAGUGAUGGCUGACUAGGCCAUCUUCUGCUACAUAUGCAGCUAAAGACACGAGUUCUGGGUGUACUGGUUAGUUCAUAUUGUUGUUCCACCUAUAGGGUUGCAGACCCCUUCAGCUUCUUGGGUGCUUUCUCUAGCUCCUCCAUUGGAGGCCCUGUGUUCCAUCUUAUAGAUGACUGUGAACAUCCACUUCUGUAUUUGCCAGGCACUGGCAUAGCUUCAUAUGAGACAGCUAUACCAGGGUCCCUUCUUCAAAAUCUUGCUGGCAUAUGCAAUAGUAAGACAGCAUUUUCAACAAAUGGUGCUGGCACAACUGGCAGUUAUCAUGUAGAAGAAUAUGAAUCGAUCCAUUCUUAUCUCCUUGUACAAGCUCAGGUCUAAGUGGAUCAAAAAACUCCACAUAAAACCAGAGACACUGAAACUUAUAGAGGAGAAAAUGGGGGAAAGCCUCAAAGAUAUGGGCACAGGGGAAAAAUUCCUAAACAUAACAGCAAUGGCUUGGGCUGUAAGAUCAAGAAUCAACAAAUGGGACCUCAUAAAAAUUGCAAAGCUUCUGUAAGGCAAAAGAUACUGUCAAUAAGACAAAAAGGUCACCAACAGAUUGGGAAAGGAUUUUUACCAAUCCUAAAUCUGAUAAGGGACUAAUAUCCAAUAUAUACAAAGAGCUCAAGAAGCUGAACUCCAGAAAUUCAAAUAACCCCAUUGAAAAAUAGGGUACAGAGCUAAACAAAGAAUUCUCAACUGAGGAAUACCGAAGGGCUGAGAAGCACCUGAAAAAAUGUUCAACAUCCUUAAUCAUCAGAGAAAUGCAACUCAAAACAACCCUGAGAUUCCACCUCACACCAGUCAGAAUGGCUAAGAUCAAAAAUUCAGGUGACAGCAGAUGCUGGCUAGGAUGUUGAGAAAGAGGAACACCCCUCCAUUGUUGGUGGGAUUGCAAGCUGGUACAACCACUCUGGAAAUCAGUCUGGCGGUUCCUCAGAAAACUGGACACAGUACUACCAGAAGAUCCAGCAAUACCUCUUCUGGGCAUAUACCCAGAAGAUGUUCCAACUGGUAAUAAGGACACAUGCUCCACUAUGUUCAUAGCAGCCUUAUUUAUAAUAGCCAGAAGCUGGAAAGAACCCAGAUGUCCCUCAACAGAAGAAUGGAUACAGAAAAUGUGGUACAUUUACACAAUGGAGUACUACUCAGCUAUUAAAAACAAUGAAUUUAUGAAAUUCUUAGGCAAAUGGAUGUAUCUGGAGGAUAUCAUCCUGAUUGAGGUAACCCAAUCACAAAAGAAGUCAUUUGAUAUGCACUCACUCAUAAGUGGAUUUAGCCCAGAAACUUAGAAUACCCACGAUACAAUUUGCAAAACACAAGAAAGUCAAAAAGAAGGAAGACCAACACGUGGACACUUCAUUCCUCCUUAGAAUAGGGAACAAAAUAACCAUGGAAGGAGUUACAGAGACAAAGUUUGGAGCUAAGACGAAAGGAUGGACCGUCCAGAGACUGCCCCACCCAGGGAUCCAUCCCAUAAUCAGCCACGAAAUGCAGACACUAUUGCAUAUGCCAGCAAAAUUUUGCUGAAAGGACCCUGAUAUAGCUGUCUCUUUUGAGGCUAUGCCAGUGCCUGGCAAAUACAGAAGUGGAUGCUCACAGUCAUCUAUUGGAUGGAACACAGGGCCCCCAAUGGAGGAGCUAGAGAAAGUACCCAAGGAGUUGAAGGGGUCUGCAACCCUAUAGGUAGAACAACAAUAGGAACUAACCAGUACCCCCAGAGCUCAUGUCUCUAGCUGCAUAUGUAGCAGAAGAUGGCCUAGUCGGCCAUCAUUGGGAAGAGAGGUCCUUUGGUCUUGCAAACUUUAUAUGCCCCAGUACAGGGGAACACCAGGGCCAAGAAGUAGGAGUGGGUGGGGAAGGAAGCAGGGUGGGGGUGGGGAGUAUAGGGGACUUUUGGGAUAGCAUUUGAAAUGUAAAUGAAGAAAAUAUCUAAUAAAAAAUUGAAAAAAUAAAAUAAAAUCAUAAAGGAUAUUAUAAAAUAGUAGUAGAUUUGAAAGAUUGUUUCUUUACUAUUCUUUUGCAUCCUCAGGAUUGUGAAAGAUUUCCUUUCAGUGUUCUUUAUAUUAAUUUUAAAGAGCCAAUGAAAAGGUAUCAAUGGAUAGUUCUUUCUCAAGGCAUGGCUAACAGUCCUACAUUAUGUCAAAAAUUUGUGGCACAAGCCAUUCAGCCUAAUAGACAGCAAUAGCCAAUAAUAUACAUUAUACAUUACAUGGAUGAUAUCUUAUUAGCAGGGAAGGAUCCUCAGGACUUGCUUCUAAUUUAUAGAAAUUCACAGCAGGCAUUAGCUG
rnacentral:lncRNA from 1 species